UAAUAGCUUCCUGUGGCAUAUCCUGCGUGAGGAGAAGCGCUUCCGACAGCCUAGGACCACCCGUCACCUAGCCAGCUUUCGCGGGCCUGGCGACCCUCGCCUCAGGCCUUUCCGAGUCGUGCAGUCUUCCAGCCCAACUCCCGUGACGCGGCAGUGAAUAGUCGCGCUUCCGUGCCACGGUCCAGGCCCAGACCUCCUCGUCUCCCAGCCGCCCCGCCCGGCAUCAAUGACUCCAGGCCCUUGCGCCUCCUCACCCUGACUGGGAGCUGCCGAGGACCGGGGCUUUCUUUGAACUUAUUCUUCGUGUUCUUUUCGGUGAAAUUAAGGUUUUAUUUUGUUCUGUUUGGUCCCUUCGUUGACCCAUUUCUUUGUUCAUUUUGUUUUUUCGGAAGCCAGUUACUGAGACUGCAUAGUGUAGUGGUUAGGGGCGCAGACUCUGGAGCCUGUCUUGAUUUUCUCCCUCCGUCAUUUGCGACGUUGGGCAAGACGGUGGGCCUCAGCUUCUGCCUCUGAAAAAUGGGAUAGAUGUGGAGAUUGAAUUAAACAGUAAAGACAAAGCCUGGCACAUGGUCAGGGAUCUUGCAGUGGUGUUUGUCUUCUUCCAUAAUGCCUGGCAUUUGAUAAACGUUUGUUGAACUUGAAGAGACAUAUGGGCAACGAAUCCGGAAAGGGAGAACAUCUUUGGUCCUACAGUGUUGCUGACAUUGACAUUUUCUGAGUGGUCUUGAACAGCCUACUUUCUAUGUAAAUAACUGGCUAGACUUCACUUUUUUUUUUUUUUUUUUUUUACUAUAGAAGCCUAUAACCUAGAGAUUUAAAAACACUGCUUUUAGGUCACUACUACAUUUAUCUAGAAGGUUCUUCCUUUCUUAUUCCAAAAUGUUGAGAUACUGGGGAGAGAUACCCAUCUCAUCAAGCCAGACCAACAGAAGUUCUUUUGAUUUGCUCCCACGGGAGUUCCGUCUAGUGGAAGUCCAUGACCCACCACUGCACCAGCCCUCAGCCAACAAGCCCAAGCCCCCUACAAUGUUGGACAUCCCCUCAGAGCCAUGCAGCCUCACCAUCCAUACUAUUCAGCUGAUCCAGCACAACCGACGUCUGCGCAAUCUCAUUGCCACAGCUCAGGCCCAGAGUCAGCAACAGACAGAAGGUGUAAAGACCGAAGAGAGUGAACCUCUUCCCUCUUGCCCUGGGUCACCUCCUCUUCCUGAUGACCUCCUGCCUAUAGAUUGUAAGAAUCCCAAUGCACCAUUCCAGAUCCGGCACAGUGACCCAGAGAGUGACUUUUAUCGCGGGAAAGGGGAACCGGUGACUGAACUCAGCUGGCACUCCUGCCGGCAGCUUCUCUACCAGGCAGUGGCCACAAUCCUGGCCCAUGCAGGCUUCGAGUGUGCUAAUGAAAGUGUCCUGGAGACCCUUACUGAUGUGGCACAUGAAUAUUGCCUUAAAUUCACCAAGUUGCUGCGCUUCGCUGUGGAUCGGGAAGCCCGGCUGGGGCAGACUCCUUUCCCUGACAUUAUGGAGCAAGUAUUCCAUGAAGUGGGCAUUGGCAGUGUGCUCUCCCUCCAGAAGUUCUGGCAGCACCGAAUCAAGGACUAUCACAGUUACAUGCUACAGAUUAGUAAGCAACUAUCUGAGGAGUAUGAAAGGAUGGUCAACCCUGAGAAGGCCACAGAGGACACUAAACCUGUAAAGAUCAAGGAAGAACCUGUGAGCGACAUCACAUUCCCUGUCAGUGAGGAACUGGAGGCUGACCUUGCUUCUGGAGACCAGUCACUGCCCAUGGGAGUCCUCGGGGCUCAGAGUGAGCGCUUCCCAUCUAACCUGGAAGUUGAGGCUUCACCACAGGCUUCAAGCACAGAGGUAAAUGCUUCCCCUCUUUGGAAUCUGGCCCAUGUGAAAAUGGAGCCUCAAGAGAGUGAAGAAGGCAAUGUGUCUGGGCAUGGCGUGCUGGGCAGUGAUGUCUUCGAGGAGCCCAUGUCCGGGAUGAGUGAAGCCGGGAUCCCUCAGAGUCCUGAUGACUCAGACAGCAGCUACGGUUCCCACUCCACUGAUAGCCUCAUGGGGUCCUCCCCUGUUUUCAACCAGCGCUGCAAGAAGAGGAUGAGGAAAAUAUAAAAGCUCACAACUACUAAACUGAGGGGCACAUCUGAAUGAGCACAAAUCCAGAGCCCGAUGGUAUCCUGAAAUCCUGGAGACACGUCAACUACAGAGUAAUAAACAGGUGUUAAGCCAAAAGCACUUACUUAGACAUGUUCUGGGCCUUCUCAAUAAAUUUCAUCACCUGAAAGAAAAAAGAUGCCAAUUAAAAACAGGAUCCAUCUUCAAUACAAAAAUCACCGUUUCCAGGGCGGCCCACCUUAUAAGCAACUAUCAACUACUGAAUCUCUAAUCUCUGUUCUCAGUCUUAGGACACCAACUAAUAAACUCCAUGAACUAAGGAAACACAGUCACAUCAGCAGCACUGACACACCCCAACACCCCAGAGUGUACUGCAGGGUCCUGAGAAGCUGAAGACGAUCUCUCACUUUCGGGUCAUAUCUCUUAGUACUUUGGUAUAAAAUGUUUAACAGCCUGUCUCUUGGAGUGACAUGAGGGUAAAAAAUUCAUGAUUACAAAACACCACUCUUGUAGAAGUAGGAGAAAAACCUAAACAGUGACAAUUUAUCUGUCACAUGUAAAAAAGCCCCAUUAUCUUUCCAUUCCAUGCCUGCUACCCCUCCCACUCCCCAAUCCUUCCCUCCAUCCUCAAGGUGACACUAUAAGCCAAGAUCAAGAAAAGAACCUAGAUUUUUGUUUUAUUGGCCAUCACCAAUAUUAAAUGUGAAGUGUCUCAC